UACAGAGGGUGCGAGCGUUAAUCGGAAUUACUGGGCGUAAAGCGCGCGUAGACGGUUUUGUACGUCAGAUGUGAAAUCCCUGGGCUCAACCUGGGAACUGCAUUUGAGACUGCAUGGCUAGAGUAUGGAAGAGGGAAGUGGAAUUUCCGGUGUAGCGGUGAAAUGCGUAGAUAUCGGAAGGAACAUCAGUGGCGAAAGCGGCUUCCUGGACCAGUACCGACGUUCAGGCACGAAAGCGUGGGGAGCAAACAGG
rnacentral:rRNA from 1 species